rnacentral:rRNA from 1 species
AACACCAAGGCUCUACACUGGUCUUGUGGUGAUUCAAUAAUAACCGAAUGAAAUCGCAUUGCAUUCAGCUUGGCGAAUGAAUCAUUCAAGUUUCUGACCUAUCAGCUUUCCGACGGGUAGGGUAAUGGCCUACCGUGGCAAUGACGGGGUAACGGAGAAUUAGGGUUUCGAUUCCGGAGAGGGAGCCUGAGAAACGGCUACCACAUCUAAAGGAAGGCAGCAGGCGCGCAAAUUAACCAAUCCUGACACAGGGAGGUAGUGACAAGAAAAUAACAAUACAGGGCAUCCAUGUCUUGUAAUUGGAAUGAGUAGAAUUUAAAAUCCCUUUAUGAGUAUCGAUUGGAGGGCAAGUCUGGUGCCAGCAGCCGCGGUAAUUCCAGCUCCAAUAGCGUAUAUUAAAGUUGUUGCGGUUAAAAAGCUCGUAGUUGGAUUUCUGCUGAGGACGACCGGUCCGCCCUCUGGGUGAGUAUCUGGCUCGGCCUGGGCAUCUUCUUGGAGAACGUAGCUGCACUUGACUGUGUGGUGCGGUAUCCAGGACUUUUGCUUUGAGGAGAUUAGAGUGUUUCAAGCAGGCACACGCCUUGAAUACAUUAGCAUGGAAUAAUAAGAUAGGACCUUGGUUCUAUUUUGUUGGUUUCUAGAGCUGAGGUAAUGAUUAAUAGGGAUAGUUGGGGGCAUUCGUAUUUAACUGUCAGAGGUGAAAUUCUUGGAUUUGUUAAAGACGGACUACUGCGAAAGCAUUUGCCAAGGAUGUUUUCAUUGAUCAAGAACGAAAGUAAGGGGAUCGAAGACGAUUAGAUACCGUCGUAGUCUUUACCAUAAACUAUGCCAACUAGAGAUUGGAGGUCGUUCUUUUUAUGACUCCUUCAGCACCUUAUGAGAAAUCAAAGUCUUUGGGUUCCGGGGGGAGUAUGGUCGCAAGGAAGAAACUUAAAGGAAUUGACGGAAG